ACUAUAAGCCCAUUAAGCCUUUGCUAAUCAAAGGCAAUCUGUUUAAUUUUCCCUGUAUUGCGCCCCUGAAUUAGCACUGAGUCACAUGGUCUGUCAGCUAUGGGAAAUGUGAUAAGUUGACAAGCUGAAAGCUCUGUGUACAUUGCACUGUGGCAGCGAGAGGUCGAUGGGCUAAAUAUAGAUCUUAACACAAUGUUUAUCCUGCCUUGUAAUUCAGCGUUUAAAGCCCAGGGGCUGACAGAUAGAUUAUCACAAGUACCUAUGUUGGACAGACGACAAGAUAACAGGUGCAGACGACAGAACGAACUUGUGACGAUAAAGACGAGACAAUCACAUAGCUCCCAAAAUCAAUAUCGUUAAUAUGCAUAACUUCUAUCGAUUAAGUACAUGUAUGCAAUUCAACAAACGUUUGUACAUUGUUGAAGUGAUAUGUGAUUUUCCGCAAAACAGUUCGAAACUUUUUUCUCCUUUAUUUGUUUUUCUUAACCUCCGACACAGCGCUAAAAUUGCAACUUACAGCAACCAAAAAAGAUUUGGAGAGUUUUAAGAAAAAGUAUAAUGAAGCUAGCGAGAAAGUUGUAGAGAAAAAUCGACAAUAUCAAAAAUUACAGUCAUUGUUUGAUGCCUUAAAAAGAAAGUGCAUAACUCCAUCCACUUUUGAAGGUGGUGAUGCUGUAAGCAGUGGCAAGGCCUGGAAUCCUCUUGCUAACUUCACAAUGCCAAUCGGCUCAGAUCAAGGCAGGUGUCCAGUUAAUAUACCAUUAUUGAAAAAAAUGUAUAUUUACUUAAAUUUUUUUCUAUAUUAAAAACACUUCUCUUUUUCUCAGGCAUUAGUGCAAGUACUUCUUUAGGUAGCAUUUCAAACAGUAAGAGAAACUCUCCAGAAACUGGUCGUGAAGUGCCCUUUACAUUCCGGAUAACAGAUACUCCAAUCUUCAAACAAAAUGGAAACCAUCAACAGAAUAAGAAAAGUAGGGAGCAGCAGAGGCAGAACAGAAAUCCGUUGGAUCUAGACUUCCCUUCUCACUGACCCAUUGUAUAUUGGUAACACCUGUCUGCAUGACAUGAAGAAUGCAAAGUACUGAAUUUUACAGAAAUAAAUCUCAUCUUGUUUUAAAAAUGAUUUUUUUCUUUUGAAAAAAAUUCAGCAGUUGAUUGCUCUGCUAUAAUCCCGUUC